AGAGUUUGAUCAUGGCUCAGGAUGAACGCUGGCGGCGUGCCUAACACAUGCAAGUCGAGCGAAGCACUUGCUUUUGAUUCUUUCGGGAUGAAGAAGCUUGUGACUGAGCGGCGGACGGGUGAGUAACACGUAGGCAACCUGCCUCACACAGGGGGAUAACAGUUAGAAAUGACUGCUAAUACCGCAUAAGCGCACAGGGCUGCAUGGCCCGGUGUGAAAAGCUCCGGCGGUGUGAGAUGAGUCCUGCGUCUGAUUAGCCAGUUGGCGGGGUAACGGCCCACCAAAGCGACGAUCAGUAGCCGG
rnacentral:rRNA from 1 species